UACGUAGGGUGCGAGCGUUGUCCGGAAUUACUGGGCGUAAAGAGCUCGUAGGUGGUUUGUCGCGUUGUUCGUGAAAACUCACAGCUCAACUGUGGGCGUGCGGGCGAUACGGGCAGACUGGAGUACUGCAGGGGAGACUGGAAUUCCUGGUGUAGCGGUGAAAUGCGCAGAUAUCAGGAGGAACACCGGUGGCGAAGGCAGCUCGCUGGGACGUGACUGACGCUGAGACGCGAAAGCGUGGGGAGCAAACAGG
rnacentral:rRNA from 1 species